rnacentral:rRNA from 1 species
UACGUGGGGCGCAAGCGUUAUCCGGAAUUAUUGGGCGUAAAGAGCUCGUAGGCGGUUUGUCGCGUCUGCCGUGAAAGUCCGGGGCUCAACUCCGGAUCUGCGGUGGGUACGGGCAGACUAGAGUGAUGUAGGGGAGACUGGAAUUCCUGGUGUAGCGGUGGAAUGCGCAGAUAUCAGGAGGAACACCGAUGGCGAAGGCAGAUCUCUGGGCCGUAACUGACGCUGAGGAGCGAAAGCAUGGGGAGCGAACAGG